rnacentral:rRNA from 1 species
CGCAAACGGUGGAUGCCUUGGCAGUAAGAGGCGAAGAAGGACGUGGAAUCCUGCGAAAAGCUAUGGGGAGCUGGAAACGAGCGUUGAGCCAUAGAUGUCCGAAUGGGGGAACCCGGCUGCAGCGAUGCGGUCAUUUGCAUUUGAAUACAUAGGAUGCAAAGGCGAACUCGGGGAACUGAAACAUCUAAGUACCCGAAGGAAAAGAAAUCAAUAGAGAUUCUCCAAGUAGCGGCGAGCGAACGGGGAGGAGCCUGGCGUGAUUUAUUAUUGAAUUGAGUAGAACAACUUGGGAAGGUUGGCCAUAGAGGGUGAAAGCCCCGUAUACGAAGGUUUGAUGAGGAACUAGGCACGCGAGCAAGUAGGCCGGGACACGUGAAAUCCUGGUUGAAGAUGGGUGGACCAUCAUCCAAGGCUAAAUACUACUUACUGACCGAUAGUGAACCAGUACCGUGAGGGAAAGGUGAAAAGAACCCCGGAGAGGGGAGUGAAAUAGAAUCUGAAACCGUUUGCGUACAAGCAGUGGGAGCAUGGUUUAGGCUGUGUGACUGCGUACCUUUUGUAUAAUGGGUCAGCGAGUUACUUUCAGUGGCGAGGUUAACUGCAUAAGGGAGCCGUAGAGAAAUCGAGUCUGAAUAGGGCGAUAGUCGCUGGGAGUAGACCCGAAACCGGGCGAUCUAGCCAUGUGCAGGAUGAAGGUUGGGUAACACCAACUGGAGGUCCGAACCGGGUAAUGUUGAAAAAUUAUCGGAUGACGUGUGGCUAGGAGUGAAAGGCUAAUCAAGCCCGGAGAUAGCUGGUUCUCCCCGAAAGCUAUUUA